GUGCACAUUUCACUGGCCCGCUUUCUUCUGUUUGUGUGAGCAGUGUUAUUUCUUCUGUGCUAUACAAAUAGAUGAAGGUUUAAUUAGCAGUGUAACUAAAUAAUCAUGCUGCUAGUGUCCUUCAGACAGUU
ensembl:snoRNA